CCUACGGGAGACAGCAGUGGGGAAUUUUGGACAAUGGGCGCAAGCCUGAUCCAGCCAUUCCGCGUGAGUGAAGAAGGCCUUCGGGUUGUAAAGCUCUUUCGGCAGGGAAGAAACGGCUACGGUUAAUACCCGUGGCUAAUGACGGUACCUGAAGAAGAAGCACCGGCUAACUACGUGCCAGCAGCCGCGGUAAUACGUAGGGUGCGAGCGUUAAUCGGAAUUACUGGGCGUAAAGCGUGCGCAGGCGGUUUUGUAAGACAGAUGUGAAAUCCCCGGGCUUAACCUGGGAACUGCGUUUGUGACUGCAAGACUAGAGUACGGCAGAGGGGGGUGGAAUUCCACGUGUAGCAGUGAAAUGCGUAGAGAUGUGGAGGAACACCGAUGGCGAAGGCAGCCCCCUGGGUCGAUACUGACGCUCAUGCACGAAAGCGUGGGGAGCAAACAGGAUUAGAUACCCUGGUAGUCCACGCCCUAAACGAUGCCAACUAGGUGUUGGGGAAGGAGACUUCCUUAGUACCGUAGCUAACGCGUGAAGUUGGCCGCCUGGGGAGUACGGUCGCAAGAUUAAAACUCAAAGGAAUUGACGGNUUGAGACGNGCGAGNGACGACGAGGAGAG
rnacentral:rRNA from 1 species